GUUUGUCUUCCCGCCACUAGAUGGAGGUCACGUUCCGUCCAAAUAUUGCAUGGCGGUGUUGCUGUUUGCUGCCCAAAACUGAAGGCUGGCCAGAAAGAUGCUACGUGCUGUUCUCCUUCAUGUUUCCUUGCAUGUCUCACAGUUGUCUACAGGAGGAGACACAAAGGUCAGGGAGAUAAGAAUCGAUUAGGAAGAGAGGAUUCACAAGAGAAACACACCUUGUGAACAUGAGCAGCCAAGCAUCAGAGCAGCUCUUCACAGACACUCCUCCUCCUCCUCCUCCUCCUCCCUGUUUUCUCAAGGUAAGAAGAGGCAACGCACGCACUACAU